CCUACGGGGGGCUGCAGUGGGGAAUAUUGGACAAUGGGGGCAACCCUGAUCCAGCCAUGCCGCGUGUGUGAAGAAGGCCCUCGGGUUGUAAAGCACUUUCAGUGAGGAAGAACGCCUGGUGGUUAAUACCCAUCAGGAAAGACAUCACUCACAGAAGAAGCACCGGCUAACUCCGUGCCAGCAGCCGCGGUAAUACGGAGGGUGCGAGCGUUAAUCGGAAUUACUGGGCGUAAAGCGCGCGUAGGUGGCUUGAUAAGCCGGUUGUGAAAGCCCCGGGCUCAACCUGGGAACGGCAUCCGGAACUGUCAAGCUAGAGUGCAGGAGAGGAAGGUAGAAUUCCCGGUGUAGCGGUGAAAUGCGUAGAGAUCGGGAGGAAUACCAGUGGCGAGGGCGGCCUUCUGGACUGACACUGACACUGAGGUGCGAAAGCGUGGGUAGCAAACAGGAUUAGAUACCCCUGUAGUC
rnacentral:rRNA from 1 species